AUCCAUCUGACGAGUCCUAAGUAGGACAAAACGCGCGUCAAACUGGAU
rnacentral:hammerhead_ribozyme from 1 species